CCGACGAGGUGCUGCAUGGUUGUCGUCAGCUCGUGCCGUGAGGUGUCGGCUUAAGUGCCAUAACGAGCGCAACCCCCAUCUACAGUUGCUAACAGGUGAAGCUGAGGACUCUGUGGAGACUGCCGGCGCAAGCUGAGAGGAAGGCGGGGAUGACGUCAAAUCAGCACGGCCCUUACGUCCGGGGCGACACACGUGUUACAAUGGCAGGUACAGCGGGAAGCCACUUGGCGACAAGGAGCGGAACCCGAAAACCUGUCUCAGUUCGGAUUGGAGUCUGCAACCCGACUCCAUGAAGCUGGAUUCGCUAGUAAUCGCGCAUCAGCCACGGCGCGGUGAAUACGUUCCCGGGCCUUGUACACACCGCCCGUCAAGCCAUGGAAGCCGGGAGUGCCUGAAGUGCGUGAGCGCAAGCAGCGCCCUAGGGUAAAACCGGUGACUGGGGCUAAGUCGUAACAAGGUAGCUGUACCGGAAGGUGCGGCUGGAUCACCUCCUU
rnacentral:rRNA from 1 species